rnacentral:rRNA from 14 species
CUUGUACAGUUUUAUCAGGUAAAGCGAAUGAUUAGAGGCCUCGGGGAUGAAACAUCCUCGACCUAUUCUCAAACUUUAAAUGGGUAAGAAGGGCGACUUACUUGAUUGAAGUCGCCCGGCGAAUGGAAGUUGUUAGUGGGCCAUAGCUGGUAAGCAGCUCUGGCGAUGCGGGAUGAACCGAACGCAGUGUUAAAG